AGCCACCACCUUCCAAGCUUUUUGCUUCAUCUUCAAACCCAAGCACCACAACAACCUAGUUUUUACACAACAAAUUUGGUAAUGGUUGCAACUCAAACUCAUUGACAUUUUGGUUCUGUCUUGUGUUUGAAAAUGUGGUUUUAUUCUUGGGUUGUCUUUUGAGAGAGAUUAGAGUCAAGUUUGAGACAAUUGAGUUUUGUUUUGGUUACACUUUUCUUGAGAUUUUUU
rnacentral:lncRNA from 1 species